rnacentral:rRNA from 1 species
ACUCCUACGGGAGGCAGCAGUGGGGAAUAUUGCACAAUGGGGGGAAACCCUGAUGCAGCCAUGCCGCGUGUGUGAAGAAGGCCUUCGGGUUGUAAAGCACUUUCUAGUAGGGAGGGAAGGUAGUGUAGUUAACACCUGCAUUAUUUGACGUUACCUACAGAAGAAGCACCGGCUAACUCCGUGCCAGCAGCCGCGGUAAUACGGAGGGUGCGAGCGUUAAUCGGAAUUACUGGGCGUAAAGCGCAUGCAGGCGGCCUGUUAAGUCAGAUGUGAAAGCCCGGGGCUUAACCUCGGAAUUGCAUUUGAAACUGGCAGGCUAGAGUCUUGUAGAGGGGGGUAGAAUUUCAGGUGUAGCGGUGAAAUGCGUAGAGAUACUGAAGGAAUACCAGUGGCGAAGGCGGCCCCCUGGACAAAGACUGACGCUCAGAUGCGAAAGCGUGGGGAGCAAACAGGAUUAGAUACCCUGGUAGCACAGAG